ACCACGUUUCUUCGCCGUUCACCCAUUUCGCCUCGGAUUUUUGUUCUCGGUCUCUGUAUACCAUGACGCAUAUCUUAAUCAAGUGGAAAAGCGCCAACAAAUGGGACGUUUAUUCUGUGAGAACGCUAGUGGACGAGGAAUUGUCGUGCCGGCUCUGCAGUGACCCAACAUACAUCGAUCUUGUCCGUGACAAGGACCACCUCGUCAAAUGGGACAAGAACAAGGCAGCAGCACCAGCGUACUUGUUGGCAAUAGGAGGAGAGAUGGCAAUGGAGAAAAAGAGGAACAGGCUGGCUGCCACAUAUGAAGAGCUGCAUCCACAAAAGAAACGCUGCUGCAACCAGGCCGAGAGGAUUGAGGAGUUAGAGAAACGGGUCGCUGACCUAGAAAGGGAAAAUGCAAAGCUUCGGGACCAGCGGAUCCUAGCCGAGGAAAGGCUGACUCGGGCAGAAGCUGGACUUGACCUCCAAAAAAUGGCCAGGCGUAUGAAGAAAUCUCUGCAGGUGCUUGUUGAGCAGCUUCCGGCGCACCCAGCAUUUGCUGUAGCGAACGUCAUUCCCGCAGUACUGGUGGACAUUGGAAGCAACGUUCAUGUGGAUGAAAAUUUGUUAGAGCAGCUAAAAAGAAAGGAGACAAGUCCUGGGCCUUUCGCAAGGGGCCUCCUAACCAUUGUGUUUUCAGAUGAGGAGCUCAAUGGCCACUCGCUCUUUGGCAAAAAGUGCAAUGCACAAAAGGAGGAUACAGUAAAACCAGGGCUGGACCCCGUACGAGUUAAUGCAGUGAUUGCAAAUCUACGUGCUCAAAAAAGGCUUGGAAACAAAUCUGGCGGUUUAGAAGUGUACGGCAGUUGUGUAACUUAAUUGACAUUGGUGAUCAUGUUUGAGCUUUUACCUCCUGGUGACUUUGUAAUCCAGCUUUACUUGACUUUAAAAGCCGCGUACACAUGCAAGAUCUUUGGGGACAAAGAAAAGGCAGUGAAGGCCAGCCUGGCCUCGUACCUUGCAAAGAAA